rnacentral:lncRNA from 10 species
AAUCUAGAAGUGGAAUUGCUGAGCUGUAGAGUAUGUGAAUCUCUACAACUUUCAACUUUACCAUGUAUUGUCAAAUUGCUCUCCAAAGUGAUGGUACCAAUUAAUGAUACUACCAAUAAGGAUCUCAACAGGACAAACACAAAGAAAAUAUCAAGGUGCAUCAUAGACAAAUUAUUGAAAAUCAGCAAUAAGGAGAAAACCUUAAAAACAGCAAGAUAAAAAGAUGCAUUAUGUGUAAAAUUAAAAAAGAAAACAAUGAUUGCUGAAUUCUUAUCAUACCAAUGCACAAAAGACAACAGAACAAUAUCUUUAAUGUGUGAAAAGUAAAAAAAAAAAUGUCAAACUAAGUUUUACAUUCAGGAAAAAUAUUCUUUGAAAAUAGAAGACAAUGAGAUUUCUGAUUUGUGGUUAUCACUCCCAUUCUCAUAAUAAGAAAAAAUCUGAAAAAACUGGAAAUCCACAACUCUUCUUAAAAUUGAGGUAACAGGGCAAGCCACUACCUUGAAUAUUAGAGACAGGAAGAUACAAAGAAUUCAGCUUAAAGAAAGAAGGAAGCCUUGGAGGAGAAGCCUGGUGCUGGAGCCUGUACCACUUUCCACAACAUCAACUGUGCUACUGUAUAAUAACAGGGCAUUAUAGCCAAAGAACUGUAAGCCUCAGACCCUAUUUAAGGAAGAGUCUCCAGGGAAAUCUAAAAAUAACAGGGAAGACUAAAACAAGGACACCCAGAGAAAAUGCUAGCCUUUGAUAUGUACAGCUAUAGCAACUGGCAAACACAAUGUAACUCCUAGCCAGAUCAACAUUGAACCUCACACAAAAGGUCUAUUUACUUCAUUUCCUUCUAAUUGAUACAUCCUCUCAGGCUGUCAGCAAAAAACUAGAAGACGUGAAAAUGCAAAAACUCUGUCUGAAGAGAGAAAGCAUGCCUUAGACUCAGACUGGCAGAAAUUUUGAGUGAUCAAACCAGAUAUUUAAAAUAACUAUGAUUAAAAUGCUAGCAGAAUGGAAAAAGUAAACAACAUGCACAAAUGGAAGGCAAAACAAAGACAUUUUCAAAUAAGCAAAAGGUGAUAGAAUGUGUCAUCCACAGACCUGCACUAUAAAAAAUGGUAGAGGAAGUUCUUCAGUAUGAAAGUGAAUGAUACCAGAUGGAAACUGAGAUCUACAAAAUGAAACAUCACUGGAAAUAGUAAAUACAUGGAGAAAGGCUCAGUCUAGCAGCAGAGCAAACUGGACAUUUUCUCACCAUUUGUUUCACCAGAGAAAGGAAGGGACAGCAACUUGGAGUCUGGAGCUGACGCAGAGGAUGUUUCUUGAUAUCUUCAACUUGAACCUGUCUCACUUGACAGAUUUAUGCUGCCAGAGUGGUUCUUCUAGUAAGAAGCCCCUUGCCAUCAGACACUGCAUUUCACUUGGUGAUUUUCCAGACUCCUCAAAUCUUUUAUGGAAAGAGCCACUUCAGGGCGGGGACCCAGUAUCACGAAGCUGCAAGGUAAAAAGGAUCAAACCUUAACUGCCUACAUGUGCUCACAGGAACAUAAGUGAGUGAGGCUCACCAGCAACCAGGAAGUGAGCUGAGCCUAACAUAUGGGAGAGAUCCUGUCUCAUCUGCAGGGAAGAGCUGCUAUAUAGGAAAGUAUCUGCUCAUUGCUGCCAUGUGGGAAUGCUGGUAUUGCUGGACUUUCUGAUGUUUUAGGAGAAACUGCUGAUCUGUGCAUGAAGUCUGAUAUAUAAAGAUGAUACUAUAUUUAUGUGUCUAUGGAUAAAUAAAUAAUGUCAACUGGUUCCAGAAAAAAAAAACAAAAACAAACAACAACAACAACAACAAAAAACCACUGUGUGGGCUAAACAAGCCUGCUGAUUAGAUUUGGCACAUUGACAGUGAGGUUAAGGUGCCUAAGUGCCUGAAAAACUUAUGUGUUUUUGUUUAUGAGAACAACUUCAGCAAAGUUUCAAGAUACAAAAUCAAUUUACAAAAAUCAGUAGCAUUUCUAUACAUCAACAACGUCUAAGAUGAGACCCAAAUCAAGAAUGAGGUCCCAUUCACAACAGUCACACACACAAAAUAUCUAGGAAUACAGCUAGCCAAGAAGGUGAAAGAUCUCUACAACAAGAUUAUAAAACACUGCUCAAAGAAAUCAGAGAUGACAUAAACAAAUGGAAAAAUAUUACAUGCUCAUAGAUAGUAAGAAUCAAUAUUGUUAAAAUGUCCAUAUUGCCCAAAGCAACUUAUAGAUUCAGUGCUAUUCCUAGCAAACUACCAGUGAUAUUUUUCACAGAAUUAGAAAAAAAAAAAAAACUAUUCAAAAAUCCUAUGGAACUUUUAGAGCCUGAAUAGUGAAAAAUAGGUUAAGCAAAAAGAACAAAACUGAAGGCAUCACGUUACCUGACUUUAAACCAUAUUACAGAGUUACAAUAACCAAAACAUCAUAGUACUGGUACAAAAACAGACACAUGGACCAAUGCAACAGAAUAGAGAGCCUAGAAAUAAAGCCACACACCUACAGUCAUCUGAUCUUUGACAACAUCUACAAAAACAAGCAAUGAGAAAAGACUUCCUGUUCAACAAAUGGUGCUGAGAUAACUGCCUAGCCAUAUGCAGAAGAUUGAAACUGGACCGCCCCCCCCACCCUUUUUUUUUUUUUUUUUUUUUUUUACCAUAUACAAAAACCAACUCAAGAUGGAUUAAAGACUUAAAUGUAAAACCUAAAACUAUAAAAAACCUAGAAGAAAUCCUAGGAAAAACUAUUAUGGACAUAGGUCCUGGCAAAGAUUUCAUGACAAAGAUGCCAAAAGCAAUUGCAACAAAAAGAAAAAUUGACACAUGGGACCUAAUUAAAUUAAUGAGCUUCUGUACAGCAAAAGAAACAAUCAACAGAGUGAAGAGACAACCUACAGAAUGGAAGAAAAUAUUUUCAAACUGCAUCUGACAAACUUCUAAUAUCUAGAAUCUAUAAGGAACUUAAACAAAAUAACAAGCAGAAAACAAACAAUCCCAUUAAAAAUUGGGCAAAGGACAUGAAUAGACACUUUUCAAAAGAAGACAUACACACAGUCAAUAAGCAUGAAAAAAUGCUCAACAUUACUAAUUAUUAAAGAAAUCCAAAUCAAAACCAAAUGAAAUUGGGCAAAGGGCAUGAACAGACACUUUUCAAAAGAAGACAUACACACAAGCCAAUAAGCAUGAAAAAAUGUUCAACAUCACUAAUUAUUAAAGAAAUCCAAAUCAAAACCAAAGAAAUUGGGCAAAGGACAUGAAUAGACACUUUUCAAAAGAAGACAUACACACAGCCAAUAAGCAUGAAAAAAUGCUGAACAUCACUAAUUAUUAAAGAAAUCCAAAUCAAAACCAAAAUGAAAUACCAUCACACUCCAAUCAGAAUGGCUAAUAUUAAAAGGUUAAAAAAUAACAGAUGCUGGUAAGGCUGUGGAGAAAAUAAAACACUUAUACACUGUUGGUGGGAAUGUAAGUUAGCUCAGCCAUUUUAGAAAACAGUUUGGCAAUUUCUCAAAUAACUUAAAAUAGAACUACCAUUUGACCCAGCAGUCCCAUUAUUGGGUAUAUACCCAAAGCAAUGUAAAUUUUCUACCAUAAAUUCACAUGCAUGCAUAUGUUCAUCACAGCACUAUUCACAAUAGCAGAAACAUGGAAUCAAAUGCUCUUCAACAGUAGACUGGAUGAAGAAAAUAUGGUACAUAUACACCAUGGAAUACUACACAGGUUUAAAAAGAACAAGACCAUGUCCUUUGCAGGGACAUGGAUGGAGCUGGAGGUCGUUACCCUAAGCAAACUAAUGCAGGAACAGAAUACUAAAUACUGCAUGUUCUCACUUACAAGUGAGAGCUAAACAUUGGGUACACAUGAACACAGAGAAGGAAACAACAGACUUUGGGACCUACUGGAAGGUAGAGGGCGGGACCAGGGUGAGGAUUGAAAAACUACCUAUUGAGUACUAUGUUUAACACCUGGGUGAUGAAAUAAUCUGUAUAACAAACCCCCAUGAUAUGCAAUUUACUUAUAUAAUAAACCUGCACAUGUUCACCUG